rnacentral:siRNA from 1 species
UUGGUGAAUAAGUCAGCCAGA